CCCUUAGAUGUCCGGGGCUGCACGCGCGCUACACUGAAGGAAUCAGCGUGCUAAAACCAUUGUCGAAAGGCAUUGGUAAACCCAUUAAAAUCCUACGUGAUUGGGAUCGGGAAUUGCAGUUAUUUCCCUUGAACGAGGAAUUCCCAGUAAGUGUGGGUCAUAAGCUCGCGUUGAUUACGUCCCUGCCCUUUGUACACACCGCCCGUCGCUGCCCGGGACUGAGCCGUUUCGAGAAAAGCGGGGACUGCUGCUGUCGGGGCUUUCGGGCCUUGGCUUCGGUGGAAACCGCUUUAAUCGCAGUGGCUUGAACCGGGCAAAANUCGUAACA
rnacentral:rRNA from 1 species